rnacentral:lncRNA from 1 species
GGAAUUGGGCAGGAGACGGCACCAGUGGUGAAACCUUCGGCUAGACCUUUUUAGUUAGGUAGGCGGCAUUCGUGUGGGAUUAGGUAGCCAUGAUUGUUUGGGGCAGAAGUCUGGCAGUUGAAGCAGGAACCAAAUUCUGAACAACAUAAAUCAUCGCCGUGCCUCACCCUACCCUGGGCUCUCAGGUGAUCAUCUUCCCGGUCUGCACACUCUUGGGCACAGACCCUGCUGAUCCUUCGGGCCGGUGCCCGCUCUCUUUCCCACCACAGAGGGGGAAAUCUCAGAAGGUGGUGUCCUUCGGUCAGAAGUAAAAAUGGCUGCAUCUCUCUGGGCAACCGAUGCCUGGGCCUGGUAUUCCUGAGUCCACAGCGGGGAUGCCAUUAGCCUUGCUCCCAAGAUCCAUGCAACCAGCAUCCCUGGCAUUUAGCCUACCGUCCCUGGCACUUAACCCCAUGGCCCCAUAAGAAGAGACAUUUCAAAUAGUUUUUCUUGGAGCCAUGGAAGGUUCAAAAGAAUUCUUUCAUGUUAAAAAAAAAUAAAUCCUCCAAAACUA